GCCAGAUUCAGCUUCAUUUUAAAGGUACUCUAAGCGAUGUCGCGCGUUUUUUAGGCUACAACAUGUUUUGUCACAUACAGCAAACAUCUCCUCACUAUCCGCAAGCUGCCGGUCCCCUAAACACACUG